CAAUAGCGUAUAUUAAAGUUGUUGCAGUUAAAACGCUCGUAGUCGAAGUGGUGAUAUUUUUUAGAUGGCGACGAGAGUCUGUUGUUUAAAACGUGUCAUUUUCCUUGUGUAUUUUAUGCAGGGACUAUUACUUUGAGGAAAUCAUAGUGCUCAAAGCAGGCUAUGCUAUGUAUGUCACAGCAUGGUAUAAUAUUAUAAGACUAAAGUGUUUGCGGAUCGCGAAUACUAUAGUAAUGAUUAAUAGGAACAGUUGGGGGCAUUCGAACUCAUUAGUCAGAGGUGAUAUUCUUAGAUUUAAUGAAGACGAACUAAGGCGAAAGCAUUUGUCAAAGAUGUUUCCAUUGA
rnacentral:rRNA from 1 species